rnacentral:rRNA from 1 species
UACGGGAGGCAGCAGGGGGAAUAUUGCACAAUGGGCGAAAGCCUGAUGCAGCUAUGCCGCGUGUAUGAAGAAGGCCUUAGGGUUGUAAAGUACUUUCAUCGGGGAGGAAAAACAAAACUAAUAAUUUUAUUUCUUGACGUUACCCGAAAAAGAAGCACCGGCUAACUCCGUGCCAGCAGCCGCGGUAAUACGGAGGGUGCUAGCGUUAAUCAGAAUUACUGGGCGUAAAGAGCACGUAGGUGGUUUUUUUAAGUCAGAUGUGAAAUCCCUGGGCUUAACCUGGAACUGCAUUUUGAAACUGAAAUACUAGAGUAUCGUAGAGGGAGGUAGAAUUCUAGGUGUAGCGGUGAAAUGCGUAGAUAUCUGGAGGAAUACCUGUGGCGAAAGCGGCCUCUAAACGAAUACUGACACUGAGGUGCGAAAGCGUGGGGAGCAAACAGGGAUUAGAUACC